rnacentral:tRNA from 1 species
GGUGACUUAGCAAAGCGGUCAAAUGCGUCAGACUCAAGUUCUGAUCCCUCGGGUUCGCGGGUUCGAAUCCCGCAGUCACCU